rnacentral:rRNA from 1 species
AACGAACGCUGGCGGCAUGCCUAACACAUGCAAGUCGAACGAGAUCUUCGGGUCUAGUGGCGCACGGGUGCGUAACGCGUGGGAAUCUGCCCUUUGGUUCGGAAUAACAGUUGGAAACGACUGCUAAUACCGGAUGAUGACGAAAGUCCAAAGAUUUAUCGCCAGAGGAUGAGCCCGCGUAGGAUUAGCUAGGUGGUGUGGUAAAGGCGAACCAAGGCGACGAUCCUUAGCUGGUCUGAGAGGAUGAUCAGCCACACUGGGACUGAGACACGGCCCAGACUCCUACGGGAGUCAGCAGUGGGGAAUAUUGGACAAUGGGCGAAGGCCUGAUCCAGCAAUGCCGCGUGAGUGAUGAAGGCCUUAGGGUUGUAAAGCUCUUUUACCCGGGAUGAUAAUGACAGUACCGGGAGAAUAAGCUCCGGCUAACUCCGUGCCAGCCGCCGCAGUAA